rnacentral:rRNA from 1 species
AGUGAACGCUGGCGGUAGGCCUAACACAUGCAAGUCGAACGGCAGCACAGGAGAGCUUGCUCUCUAGGUGGCGAGUGGCGGACGGGUGAGGAAUACAUCGGAAUCUGCCCAGUCGUGGGGGAUAACGUAGGGAAACUUACGCUAAUACCGCAUACGACCUUCGGGUGAAAGAGGGGGAUCGCAAGACCUCUCGCGAUUGGAUGGGCCGAUGUCGGAUUAGCUAGUUAGCGGGGUAAUGGCCCACCAAGGCGACGAUCCGUAGCUGGUCUGAGAGGAUGAUCAGCCACACUGGAACUGAGACACGGUCCAGACUCCUACGGGAGGCAGCAGUGGGGAAUAUUGGACAAUGGGCGCAAGCCUGAUCCAGCCAUACCGCGUGGGUGAAGAAGGCCUUCGGGUUGUAAAGCCCUUUUGUUGGGAAAGAAAUCUUUCAGGCUAAUACCCUGGGAGGAUGACGGUACCCAAAGAAUAAGCACCGGCUAACUUCGUG